rnacentral:lncRNA from 1 species
GCUGUUGCUGGGAGUGGGAAAGAGGUGGCAUCGGCGGUUCAAGACUGAGUUUUCUAUCUCUUCAGUGCCUCUUUCAACAAUGAAGAUCAAACCAGGUUUUGUGCAAAUAUCUGCUGAGUGAACUACUUAUUUGAAAAUACAUCAUUGGUUAAUAUUCCCUUUUGCUCAUUGAAAUCUCAAAGACUACAGACCCCGCACAAGACAUUCUGACAUUCCCGUCUUUGAAAUGAAUGACAGCAAUGAUAAAUAUGGCUCACCUCCAGAGAUACAGAUCUCACAACUUCAUAUUUUUAAUAUAAAUUAUUAAUCUGAGUUUCCAGAAGCAGAGAGAGAUAAGACCCAUGAUAAUCAAGCCAUAAACAGAUGCAUUUACUAGCUGAAUGGCCAACAAUGGAAUUCAACAAAUCCAUCUUGAGCACGGCAGCCAGGAGUGUGGUGCAAUUCCAUUAGAUGAAAGAGAUCUACACAUUCAGAAGCACAUGAUUCUUCCCCCUUCCAUGAUUCCAGUGGCCAAUAGACAAACUACAAUAAAGCCAUGCCCUGACUGGAUGUGCCUAACAUUUGUCUGGUGCUUAAAGGAGUUGGCUGCAUGCGUGGGAUGGAGAAGGAUUCAACAUUUAAUGGCAGUUAGAAUCAAAUUUUUAACUCAAGAAGGCAGAAGGAAUCCACCUAAAUAAAUGUUGGAAAGUCACCAAAAAUAGUUCUCCAAGUCAGAAGCGGUGCAAAAGCUGCCUCAGCUCUUGGUGGAUUUUCAAUUUCUCCCAGCCAUCUCUGUUUCGCUAAAGGUUUCUGAAGACAGUGGGUAUGUGGCAAACUUCUGCAAUUCUAUAUUAAGAUAAACUGUUAGAUCAA